AUUGAACGCUGGCGGCAGGCCUAACACAUGCAAGUCGAACGGUAACAGGAAGAAGCUUGCUUCUUUGCUGACGAGUGGCGGACGGGUGAGUAAUGUCUGGGAAACUGCCUGAUGGAGGGGGAUAACUACUGGAAACGGUAGCUAAUACCGCAUAACGUCGCAAGACCAAAGAGGGGGACCUUCGGGCCUCUUGCCAUCGGAUGUGCCCAGAUGGGAUUAGCUUGUUGGUGGGGUAACGGCUCACCAAGGCGACGAUCCCUAGCUGGUCUGAGAGGAUGACCAGGCAACCUGGAAAUGGGACACGGGCCCAACUCCUACGGGAGGCAGCAGUGGGGAAUAUUGGACAAUGGGCGCAAGCCUGAUGCAGCCAUGCCGCGUGUAUGAAGAAGGCCUUCGGGUUGUAAAGUACUUUUAGCGGGGAGGAAGGGAGUGAAGUUAAUACCUUCGCUCAUUGACGUUACCCGAAGAAGAAGGCCCGGCUAACUCCGUG
rnacentral:rRNA from 1 species